rnacentral:tRNA from 1 species
GCCUAGCUGGUUCACUGAUGGAGCAUGUGACUCUUGACCUCAGGGUCAUGGGUUCGAGCCCCAUGUUAGGUG